rnacentral:rRNA from 1 species
GACGAACGCUGGCGGCGUGCUUAACACAUGCAAGUCGAACGGAAAGGCCCUGCUUUUGUGGGGUGCUCGAGUGGCGAACGGGUGAGUAACACGUGAGUAACCUGCCCUUGACUUUGGGAUAACUUCAGGAAACUGGGGCUAAUACCGGAUAGGAGCUCCUGCUGCAAGGUGGGGGUUGGAAAGUUUCGGCGGUUGGGGAUGGACUCGCGGCUUAUCAGCUUGUUGGUGGGGUAGUGGCUUACCAAGGCUUUGACGGGUAGCCGGCCUGAGAGGGUGACCGGCCACAUUGGGACUGAGAUAAGGCCCAGACUCCUACGGGAGGCAGCAGUGGGGAAUAGUGCACAAUGGGCGGAAGCCUGAUGCAGCAACGCCGCGUGCGGGAUGACGGCCUUCGGGUUGUAAACCGCUUUCGCCUGUGACGAAGCGUGAGUGACGGUAAUGGGUAAAGAAGCACCGGCUAACUACGUG